AGGUUGACCGGCUACAGCGGGUGACUCAACCUGGGAAAUGAAAGAAAGAGAUUUUUCAGGUGGAGAUUGUACGGUCAAUAGGGUUUUUGCUGUAGGUUUUAUGUUAGUUUGUGUUUUGAGCGUUUUGUAUCUAAAUGAGAAUCUUAAUAAAUCUCAAUUAGUGUAUUGCCCCAACCCUUCAAAAUCCCACCUCUCACCCCCUCUCAUUCCAUCCUUCUCUCUCUCUCUCUCUCUCUCUCUCUCUCUCUCUCGUAUACAUGGAUAAAUGGUAUUUUGAGGGGAAUGUUGGCUGGUUCGAGGCUUUCUUUUGUAAUUAGGAGAGAAGCAUCGGACCAGGCUUCAUUCCUCUCAAAAUUCUGUCCUCUCUCUCUCUCUUUCUCUUUCUCAGCUGGAGAUUUUCUUGUUAAGGUUAGGUUGUGGGGAAUGUUGUCUGGCUCGAGGUCAUGUAGGCCAUACACUCGAGUCUGUGUAUUUGGACAGAGGCUCAAGACAUGGGAUUCAACCACACAUGACCUCGGACCAGGCUUCAUUCCCCUCAACCAAUUUUUGCCGUCUUCUUCUUCUUCUCUUUUCCGCUCAAUUGAUGCCGCUGAGAGAUUAGAGUGUAGGUGGCAUGGAAAUGUAGGGUGUUGAUUUCAAUGUCUUUUGGUGGGUCAUGGGUCAUUUAAGAAGGGGCUGACGCUUGUGACAUGUGGGGUGAGUGAAUGGAGAUGAUGCCAUAGAUAGAUUUUAAGGAGAAGGUGGAGAGUUUCAUGGCAACUGGAUUUUUGAGGCCAUAAAUAUGGAGGGUUGGAUGUGAUGCACUGGGAGGAGGAGACGGCCAGAUGGAGAGGUGAUGUAUUAAUAAGGGCUUUUAAAGGUGGUGAAGGUUUAUUUCCUUUAAUAGAAAGGCUCCUGAACAGGGUUGGCAGCGUUGCACCCAUGACAUAUGUGUGUCAUAUGAUUGAUGGGAAUUUGUUUUUGAAAAUCAAAGAAAGAAAUAAAGUAAAAAAGAAAAAAGAAGAAA